rnacentral:rRNA from 1 species
GUAGUUUGAUCAUGGCUCAGAGUGAACGCUGGCGGUAGGCCUAACACAUGCAAGUCGAACGGCAGCACAGAGGAGCUUGCUCCUUGGGUGGCGAGUGGCGGACGGGUGAGGAAUACAUCGGAAUCUACUCUGUCGGUGGGGGAUAACGUAGGGAAACUUACGCUAAUACCGCAUACGACCUACGGGUGAAAGCAGGGGAUCUUCGGACCUUGCGCGAUUGAAUGAGCCGAUGUCGGAUUAGCUAGUUGGCGGGGUAAAGGCCCACCAAGGCGACGAUCCGUAGCUGGUCUGAGAGGAUGAUCAGCCACACUGGAACUGAGACACGGUCCAGACUCCUACGGGAGGCAGCAGUGGGGAAUA